rnacentral:lncRNA from 1 species
UGAUUCUAUGGCAGUUUGUAGCCUCCACAUAGAAGCAGCAAAAACAGGAAGUGAUCUCAAUUCCAUAGGCUACUUCAGCUUCUGCCAGAAACCAAUGCCUUAGCCAUAACUAAAAGUGCAGAACUAGCUCUACUUCCUGUGAGUAAUCAAAACAGGAAAUAGACAUAUGAAAUGUGGGUGAUGGUCUCAUCAAAAAUCUCCAAUCUCUUAUGUCAAAGAGAAAUAUUCAGACCACCAACCUACUCUUCUCCUCGUGGGCUGUAGUCUCAUUGAUAAUAGGUGUCUUCAUGAAAGAAUGGGUUGAAUUAGUCCCCAAAAUAAAAAAGGUCAAGAUUAGCCACAGUCCAUGGAUGACAUGCUGCACUACCAUUUGGCCAGAAGAUAGCCUGAAAGUGGUCAGGAUCAUGAUGGUGUUGGUUCUCUGCCUUUCCUUCUUCCUUAACUUGAUCCUGGGUAUGCAAUACACCUAUGUGAUUCCUCAGAACAGAUAUAUACAGCUCAUCAUUGCCUUCAGCUGUUUCCUCACAGGUUUUCUCUGUCUACUACAGUGCAAGCAACCCAUCCAUAGUUGUACCUGCCAGAAAAUUCACUCAUCUACUGAACAGUGUAUAGAUAAACAGCUCUGUGGGCAGUCUAUCCAAGUUAUUUCGCUUCCAGAGAGCACUGCAAUGCCGCGGGGCAUUGUCCGUCUAUCCUCCCAGCAAUCAAAGGAAGAUUCUGCGAACAAAGAACAUCUCCAAAAGCGUCAUGUGACCUGGGCUCUAUGACUGGACAAUCUACCUUCCAUGUGUGCCCAUCUUUAUGGACACAGCUUUCUGAGCAUGCGCCUUGCUGUGUGCAUCUCCAGCCAUUUGGUCUGGGUUCGGCAUUAUGGAAGUGACUGUGAGUGGGUUGGAGAUGCAAAGAGAUGUAGAAAGAAAUGCAGAAAACGGCUUUUUUUAAUCCUGGCAUGCUAAACAAAUAUCUUUUUCUACAGUAUUUGUUAUUGAUAUGAUAAAUAUAUAAAUACUACUUGCUGUAUUAUUAAUUCUGUAUAGAAAAAUAUUUAUAAUGGUACAGUAUUUUUUAUUUUUUGUGUAAUAUAUAUUUUCAUUAGCACAUGUUUGUGAUACCUAAUAAUUACACUUAUCUUGGGGAAUAUAUAUAUAUAUAUAUAUAUAUAUAUAUAUAUAUUUCACAUCUUGAUCAUUUUAUUACUCCCACUUUCCAUAGCCACUGCCCUCCCUCUCCCACCUUUCCCAGAUCUUUGCCGUCUCCACCAUCUACCUUCCUAUUUCCUACCAUUUCUUUUUUAUUUUGCUAUUUGAAUUAUUUAUAUUUUGAGUUUCUUAUAUUAGAGGAACUAUGCAA